AUGGCAGAGAUUGACUAGCCACUUAUCAAACCUGUUUGUUUUUGCUUCCUUCCCACAGAUAGAUUAUUUCUCCCUGUCUUUCUUGUGAACACAUGUUUGAGUUCUGGCCGGUGGACUCUCCUGCACCUGUUCUAGGUCUGGUCCACAGAACCUUCCAUGUGCAACCCACCCUGCACUUCCCUUUCUUCAUCAGACUCGAAAGCCAUGAGCUGGAGAUGUUGGAGGCACCAGCUGGAAGGAGCCUGCAUCCUUGAGUUGCUGCUUGGAUGAGAACUGCCUACAAAUCAGGGCAUCAGCCUGGGACUUUAAUCGGACAUAGUUAUGAAGCGGCCUGUUCUUGUCUUGGUCCUGCCUGGUCCCACAGUGGCUUCUUCUGAUGCUGACACUCGUGAAAUGAUUCAUGUUCAACAGGAGAACACCAAGGCCUCGCUGUGUCAGCAUUCGAGCUCACCAAGUGUUGAAGAGAGGGUCAAGAGAUGCCAAGCAACUCAUGGGACUUUUCUCCCAGGAAGAGAAAAACGGUGA
rnacentral:lncRNA from 1 species